UUUAAAAGCUUUAACGAGUAUCCAUUGGAGGGCAAGUCUGGUGCCAGCAGUCCGCGGUAAUUUCCAGCUCCCAAAAGUAUAUAUUUAAGUUGUUGCGGUUAAAAAGCUCGUAGUUGGAUUUUGGGCGCAGGCGGCCGGUCCGUCGCAAGGCGUGUACUGGACGUCCUGGCCUUCCCUCCGGUUCUCCGCCGGUGCUCUUGACUGAGUGUCGGCGGCGGCCGGAACGUUUACUUUGAAAAAAUUAGAGUGUUCAAAGCAGGCUCUCGAGCCUGGAUAAUGGUGCAUGGAAUAAUGGAAUAGGACCUCGGUUCUAUUUUGUUGGUUUUCGGAGCGCGAGGUAAUGAUUAAGAGGGACAGACGGGGGCAUUCGUACUGUGCCGUUAGAGGUGAAAUUCUUGGAUCGGCGCAAGACGAACGACUGCGAAAGCAUUUGCCAAGAAUGUUUUCUUUAAUCAAGAGCGAAAGUCAGAGGUUCGAAGACGAUCAGAUACCGUCCUAGUUCUGACUAUAAACGAUGCCAACUAGCGAUCGGGGGGCGUUACAUUGACGACCCCUCCGGCAGCUUACGGGAAACCAAAGUCUUUGGGUUCCGGGGGAAGUAUGGUUGCAAAGCUGAAACUUAAAGGAAUUGACGGAAGGGCACCACCAGGAGUGGAGCCUGCGGCUUAAUUUGACUCAAC
rnacentral:ncRNA from 1 species